CACACACACACCUACCAUCGGCAACACACACCUCCAGGGCUCUACAGUGUGACCAUUUCACUCGCAUAUGUGACUAAAAAUAAAUAUGCGCUAAACGGUCAAAGUGAUGUAUCCAAGUAGGGACUUAUACCCCCAGAACCAAUAUUGCCGUGGUUGUAGUAUUUCUGCUAUUUUAUGGUUGGUAAUCACACAAAGAACUACCAAUACCAUAAUGCAACACGCAGCUCAAUGAGCCAAUCGUAGCAUAAUGUAUUCCGAGGCUGGAACUACCUCAGUAGGCUGGAAACGCAAGCCUUUGAAUAGCUACCUUGAGAGGAUCUGCAUUCACUUCUGUCAGGAGAAGGAUGAAGAGGAUCACAUUUUAUUUUAAAGGUGUACCAUGAGGAAAUCGCUCUGCUUGGUUGCAAAAAUGUUAACCGUUCGCCUCAUUUCAGUUUGUGACAAAACACGCAAGUAGUGUACAGAAUCAUUGUACAAUCUAAUAUAUUUUCCAUAACCAAACAUUAUAUUUUCACUGUUUUGAAGCUGGUGUACAAAACUGAACAUGAAAGGCGCAAAAAAGAAACUUAAGAACGGGAAUCAUAGAAAUAGUGGACCAUAGAAUGGAUCUACCACUUCGAGUUGCUUUCAAUGAGAAUGUCAGGUCUAUAACUCCACAUUUCUAUGUGAAUUUGGUCAGGUCACCCAAAAAGUUACAUAUUGCAGCUUUAAGCGACAAGAUCAACAACAGGAGCCCGAUGUGUCUGCCAGUGAUACUGAUGUGGCUGAACCCAUGGUUGUCGAGCGACCAGCAACACAAGAAGACAAAGCUUUCGCAAGCACAAAUAGUGAUGUUAGCGUCAAUAUUGCUCUGCUAGCCAGUGUCACUGCCAGCGGGAAGCAUACAAGUACAUCGAGGUGAAUGAAAGCUUAUGUUUUGCAAGUAUUGUAAGGCCGAACCAAUACUUGCAAGGCAGCAUUCUAGCUUUGUGGUGGGGACACCUCAUUUAAAGGGAAAUGUAAAAAACUUCAAAUUCAUCAUCUCCAGCUCCCUCCCAACACCACCAUAUGUGAAAAUAAUGCUUUUUUAAAUGUUUGUAGUCAAAAAGACAUAGGAAGAUUAGUGUUUCCAAUGACAUCAACCAAUUCUUAGACAAUUUAGUAUGGAAUGGCUACUUUUAAUUGGAACCAAUUAGGACUAGGCAUUCCAUACUAAAUUGUCUAAGAAUUGGUUGAUGUCAUUAGAAAGACAUUUCUUUCUUUUCUAGUCUUUUUGACUGCAAAACAUAGCGUUAUUUUCACAUGUUGAUGUAGUGCCUGAGAUGGUGAGAAAUGGUGAAACGGAGAGACACUGUUAAACACAGUGUCAAAAAGCACAUCUCAAGACCAACAAACAACACUUCAGUCGGCUGUGAAUAGGCAGGUAACGCGCACGCACCCCCUAGCAGGUAACGCGCACGCACCCCCUAGCAGGUAACGCGCACGCACCCCCUAGCAGGUAACGCGCACGCACCCCCUGGCAGGUAACGCGCACGCACCCCCUGGCAGGUAACGCGCACGCACCCCCUGGCAGGUAACGCGCACGCACCCCCUGGCAGGUAACGCGCACGCACCCCCUGGCAGGUAACGCGCACGCACCCCCUGGCAGGUAACGCGCACGCACCCCCUGGCAGGUAACGCGCACGCACCCCCUGGCAGGUAACGCGCACGCACCCCCUGGCAGGUAACGCGCACGCACCCCCUGGCAGGUAACGCGCACGCACCCCCUGGCAGGUAACGCGCACGCACCCCCUGGCAGGUAACGCGCACGCACCCCCUGGCAGGUAACGCGCACGCACCCCCUGGCAGGUAACGCGCACGCACCCCCUGGCAGGUAACGCGCACGCACCCCCUGGCAGGUAACGCGCACGCACCCCCUGGCAGGUAACGCGCACGCACCCCCUGGCAGGUAACGCGCACGCACCCCCUGGCAGGUAACGCGCACGCACCCCCUGGCAGGUAACGCGCACGCACCCCCUGGCAGGUAACGCGCACGCACCCCCUGGCAGGUAACGCGCACGCACCCCCUGGCAGGUAACGCGCACGCACCCCCUGGCAGGUAACGCGCACGCACCCCCUAGCAGGUAACGCGCACGCACCCCCUAGCAGGUAACGCACCCCCUAGCAGGUAACGCACCCCCUAGCAGGUAACGCACCCCCUGGCAGGUAACGCACCCCCUAGCAGGUAAGGCACGCGCGCACCCCCUAGCAGGUAAGGCACGCGCGCACCCCCUAGCAGGUAAGGCACGCGCGCACCCCCUAGCAGGUAACACACACACGCCCCUACAGGUAACCCACACAUGACAGUUUACGGCUCUCUUCCACUCCUUGUGUUUUGUUCUCUGGUCUCCUCCC